rnacentral:rRNA from 1 species
GGUAAGGCCCUUCGGGGUACACGAGCGGCGAACGGGUGAGUAACACGUGAGCAAUCUGCCCUUCACUUUGGGAUAACUCCCGGAAACGGGUGCUAAUACCGGAUACGACCACUCAUCGCAUGGUGUGUGGUGGAAAGUUCUGGCGGUGGAGGAUGAGCUCGCGGCCUAUCAGCUUGUUGGUGGGGUAAUGGCCUACCAAGGCUUCGACGGGUAGCCGGCCUGAGAGGGUGACCGGCCACACUGGGACUGAGACACGGCCCAGACUCCUACGGGAGGCAGCAGUGGGGAAUAUUGGACAAUGGGCGAAAGCCUGAUCCAGCAACGCCGCGUGAGGGAUGACGGCCUUCGGGUUGUAAACCUCUUUCAGCACAGACGAAGCGAAAGUGACGGUAUGUGCAGAAGAAGCACCGGCCAACUACGUGCCAGCAGCCGCGGUAAUACGUAGGGUGCGAGCGUUGUCCGGAAUUAUUGGGCGUAAAGGGCUCGUAGGCGGUUUGUUGCGUCAGGAGUGAAAACUCGGGGCUUAACCCCGAGCCUGCUUCUGAUACGGGCAGACUUGAGGUAUGCAGGGGAGAACGGAAUUCCUGGUGUAGCGGUGAAAUGCGCAGAUAUCAUGAGGAACACCGGUGGCGAAGGCGGUUCUCUGGGCAUUACCUGACGCUGAGGAGCGAAAGUGUGGGGAGCGAACAGGAUUAGAUACCCUGGUAGUCCACACCGUAAACGUUGGGCGCUAGGUGUGGGGACUCAUUCCACGAGUUCCGUGCCGCAGCUAACGCAUUAAGCGCCCCGCCCUGGGGAGUACGGCCGCAAGGCUAAAACUCAAAGGAAUUGACGGGGGGCCCGCAC